UGACACCUGCACCUUCUUCUCCAACAGGCGAAGUUGAACUGUGGUUUCUAUCAGCAUGUCCAUCAGCAGCUCAAGCUGCAGCUUCAGCUUCCUUUCUGUGAAUGCAGUUACGGCAGGAGAAGCGGUGACCCCUUCCAGUACAACUUGGGUAUCUACACCCUUCAGCCGUGCUCUGCCUGACUCUGAGCUCGGUGGGCAUGAGUCAGUUCUGAUCCAAAGGCCAUGCGCCCGUGCAGCACUGUAUUGAGCUAAUAAAGCUGACCGCUGAGAAGGUUUCUUUGCUCAGGCAGAACAUUUACAGCUCUUUGGUGGUUCAGUGUUGCACCCACUGGGAGGGAGGCAGGCAACAGUCCAUUUGCAUCAGUUGCAACAAGCCCUGUCUGAAGUUCCUUCCUUCCUCCCCGGAGGAGAAUGAGCUAUACAGCUGUAAAUACUUUACAGUGGGGUGACUGGGUCCAGCCUUGGGAGAGUGUGCUGCACUGGCUGUGUCAGCACAGCGCUAACGCAGUGCAAUUCCACCGUAUCGGCAGUGCCUGAGCUCUUGUUAUACCCUGGGAACUCCGUGCCAAGGACCCGCGAGCCCCUGGUACCACGGCAGCUGCCAAGGCGUUCGAGGGAGGCUGCCAGCCACUCUGACAGGGGUGCCGUCAGAAACCCAGUGCAGCUGAUGCACUCAGGCAAGACCCUGGGCUCAACUGCCCCGUCCAUGAAAUGGAGCCUAUUUCAGCCACUCACCAGUUGCGGAUCCAGGAGCAGUGACCACAGGGACUCAUUGGUUGCGUGCUUGCUGGAAUGCUCUGUCAGACUCUGCAGUCUUCCUCAGUGCUGACCCUACUUUGACUCUUCCUACAUAGUUUUUAGCACUGAAACCCGGGAAAUCCCAGAACCCACAGCAGGAGACGGUGUCAGGAGCAAGGCAUGGCCUUUCCUAAGCUGCCGCAACAAGCGUCCAAGCUCUCCUCCGGAGGGAGGGCAUUCACACAAGGGCACGUGUGAGGCUGCAUCCCCCUCCUACACUAUGGCUCUGCCUGUACCAGGGAGAAAGAUGACUUCUCGGUGCUCUCUAACAAGUGGUGAUUACUGGUGAAAAACUGGUGAAGACAAGGCAAAUUGUAGCAUUAAAGUGUGGACUUUCCUAGCCUAUCUUGACCCGCUAACAUUCAAAGUGACAAAUUGCUUUGUUUUUGCUUGCGUUUUUCUAUGUUAUCUAAUCUAGGAAUGUUUUUUACUGCAUAGGACUGUGGCCUGUCGUAAAGGGAGUAUUUGCCUGCAGGCAAGGGGCCUGCUCUCACCCUGUCGGAAACACCCUGUGCCUCCAUCCGCAGCUGUGCCUCCCUGCGACAGCGCAGAGUUCAAACGCCAUGCUGCCAACCCCUGAUAUGUCACGGGUCAGCCGCAGUCACGCUUUUCACCCCAGGCCACCUUUGUCCGUACUUCACCGACUCCUCUCAGUCUGUGCAGCGUGGAUCCGGCUGCUGCCCCCGCGCUCCCCCCCAGCCGAGCACUCCUUCCUCCACCCUGGCUCUCGGGCACGCACCGAGCAGGAGCUCUGUGCGGCUCUGUGUUCAUUCAGAUCAAUGGGGUUCUGGCUCUUGCUGCCAGAAUGUUCUUCACAGUUUUGGCAUUGAUCAAUACCUAAUUCAAAAUGGUCACACAGGCAAACACAAAAAUGCUGUUAUGGUGAGAGUAAGACCUCUGCAGACUCAGCAGAUAAAAUGGGUCACGACAGUGCUUAUUUCUGUUACACAACUCCAGUGUGACUUGCUUUCUUUUUUCUUGCCCUUGAAGUCGCUUGGACGUAAACAAGUAAAAAUAAGGCUGAUAAUAAAAUCAGGAUGAGGAAAGGAGAAGGGAAAGGAAAGCUUCCUUCAGUGCUUGCUCCCGAAACAAACUUCCUCAUAGCUUCGGCAGGCUGGCUCCUGCAGGCUUUGAUCCCAGAGCCACUGGGGAAAUAAAGACCCAUUGAGAAGUCUGGCUACAGAUUA